GAUGAACGCUGGCGGCGUGCCUAAUACAUGCAAGUCGAGCGAACAGACGAGGAGCUUGCUCCUCUGACGUUAGCGGCGGACGGGUGAGUAACACGUGGAUAACCUACCUAUAAGACUGGGAUAACUUCGGGAAACCGGAGCUAAUACCGGAUAAUAUAUUGAACCGCAUGGUUCAAUAGUGAAAGACGGUUUUGCUGUCACUUAUAGAUGGAUCCGCGCCGCAUUAGCUAGUUGGUAAGGUAACGGCUUACCAAGGCGACGAUGCGUAGCCGACCUGAGAGGGUGAUCGGCCACGCUGGAACUGAGACACGGUCCAGACUCCUACGGGAGGCAGCAGUAGGGAAUCUUCCGCAAUGGGCGAAAGCCUGACGGAGCAACGCCGCGUGAGUGAUGAAGGUCUUCGGAUCGUAAAACUCUGUUAUUAGGGAAGAACAAAUGUGUAAGUAACUAUGCACGUCUUGACGGUACCUAAGCAGAAAGCCACGGCUAACUACGU
rnacentral:rRNA from 1 species